CACGCCGUAAACGAUGAGUGAUAAGUGUUGGAGGGUUUCCGCCCUUCAGUGCUGCAGCAAACGCAUUAAGCACUCCGCCUGGGGAGUACGACCGCAAGGUUGAAACUCAAAGGAAUUGACGGGGGCCCGCACAAGCGGUGGAGCAUGUGGUUUAAUUCGAAGCAACGCGAAGAACCUUACCAUGUCUUGACAUCCUUUGACCACUCUAGAGAUAGAGCUUUCCCUUCGGGGACAAAGUGACAGGUGGUGCAUGGUUGUCGUCAGCUCGUGUCGUGAGAUGUUGGGUUAAGUCCCGCAACGAGCGCAACCCUUAUUGUUAGUUGCCAUCAUUUAGUUGGGCACUCUAGCGAGACUGCCGGUGACAAACCGGAGGAAGGUGGGGAUGACGUCAAAUCAUCAUGCCCCUUAUGACCUGGG
rnacentral:rRNA from 1 species